rnacentral:rRNA from 1 species
GCCUACGGGACGCAGCAGUGGGGAAUAUUGCGCAAUGGGCGAAAGCCUGACGCAGCGACGCCGCGUGAGGGAUGGAGGUCUUCGGAUCGUAAACCUCUGCCCGCAGGGAAGAACGGUCACUGUGCUAAUCAGCAGUGAAUUGACGGUACCUGCAAAGGAAGCACCGGCUAACUCCGUGCCAGCAGCCGCGGUAAUACGGAGGGUGCGAGCGUUAAUCGGAAUUACUGGGCGUAAAGCGCUCGUAGGCGGUAUGUCAAGUCAAGGGUGAAAUCCCCCCGCUCAACGUGGGAACUGCCUUUGAAACU